AUAAAUAAUUGAAACUUAGAUGUUCGGGAAAAAGAUGAAAACUCUUUGCUGUCCCAGCAACUGUAAUACUAAUGAACGUUGAAUUACCCAUUGAAAUCAAUUUUGAGAAGGGCAACUAGUAAAAUGAAGUUAAGCCAGUAGACCGGUCUGAUUUUCAAAAAUUAAU
rnacentral:ncRNA from 15 species